GCACCGGCUAACUCCGUGCCAGCAGCCGCGGUAAUACGGAGGGUGCGAGCGUUAAUCGGAAUUACUGGGCGUAAAGCGCAUGCAGGUGGUUUGUUAAGUCAGAUGUGAAAGACCCGGGGCGUCAACCUCGGAAUAGCAUUUGAAACUAGGCAGACUAGAGUACUGUAGAGGGGGGUAGGAAUUUCAGGUGUAGCGGUGAAAUAGCGUAGAGAUCUGAAGGAAUACCGGUGGCGAAGGCGGCCCCCUCGGACAGAUACUGACACUCAGAUGCGAAAGCGUGGGGAGCAAACAGGAUUAGAUACCCUGGUAG
rnacentral:rRNA from 1 species